rnacentral:rRNA from 1 species
CACGAACCGUCCAAACGUUAUUCGGAAUCAUUGGGCUUAAAGGGUGCGUAGGCGGCGCUUUAAGUCGGGUGUGAAAUCCCUCGGCUCAACCGAGGAACUGCGCCCGAUACUGGAGUGCUAGAGGGAGACAGGGGUGAGCGGAACUGAUGGUGGAGCGGUGAAAUGCGUUGAUAUCAUCAGGAACACCGGUGGCGAAAGCG